rnacentral:rRNA from 3 species
AGCGACUAAGCGUACACGGUGGAUGCCCUGGCAGUCAGAGGCGAUGAAGGGCGUGCUAAUCUGCGAUAAGCGCCGGUAAGGUGAUAUGAACCGUUAUAACCGGCGAUACCCGAAUGGGGAAACCCAGUGUGAUUCGUCACACUAUCAUUAACUGAAUCCAUAGGUUAAUGAGGCGAACCGGGGGAACUGAAACAUCUAAGUACCCCGAGGAAAAGAAAUCAACCGAGAUUCCCCCAGUAGCGGCGAGCGAACGGGGAGGAGCCCAGAGCCUGAAUCAGCAUGUGUGUUAGUGGAAGCGUCUGGAAAGGCGCGCGAUACAGGGUGACAGCCCCGUACACAAAAGCGCAUGUGCUGUGAGCUCGAUGAGUAGGGCGGGACACGUGGUAUCCUGUCUGAAUAUGGGGGGACCAUCCUCCAAGGCUAAAUACUCCUGACUGACCGAUAGUGAACCAGUACCGUGAGGGAAAGGCGAAAAGAACCCCGGCGAGGGGAGUGAAAAAGAACCUGAAACCGU